rnacentral:lncRNA from 1 species
UGGGGACUGCUGCCUGAAAAAUUUUCCGGCUACCGGAGACCUAACCCAGUACGGCGUACCGGCAGAAUUUGUCACGUCUAGCUCAUUAAAGUUUGAUGCUCGAGGCGUCGGUUGCAGAGAGUAAGCAUCUGACGACGCGUAUCCGGAAAGUCUCGGACUUGUUCCGGACCUAUACCCGAAACCCAAAUCACCACUGCAUAUUAUUAUCUCGUUGUUUGCUCCAUGAUUAUAGUGACUAUAACCACUACUAGUGUUAUUGAUAUUGUACUCGUGAAAUGGUGCAGGAGUAUUAACUGAAAAGAUUUCGGCAUUGGAGAGGUUUGAGGGUCUAGGGGUGAGGUUGAUGGACGAUGAUAGGGCAGAAUCCGGAGCCGACGAAGUUGACCGCAGGAUUCGU